AUUCAUGUACCUGGCAUCAUCCAGCCAGUCAUCUGUCCCUGCAUGUUUAUUUAAAAUUAAAACCAAGAUCAAAAAUUAGCCAAAAGAAGUUCUUUAAAAAUAAUAUUGAAAUGGUUUAUAACCAAAACAUGUUUUGCUCUGGCCUCAUGCUCCCUUCUUUUUAUACCCAUCAAUGAUUUUAGCAGACUGAUGUGUGUCAAAUGUGUUAAUCGGGUACAAAGAAGGCAGAACUGGACUCCUAAAUCAGCUGUCAAAGAGAACGGCACUAACGUGGUAUCGCAGGUGGAAAGAGACUACAGGGAGCAUCUCUACUCUUCCUGCUGGCACCCACGUAAUCAUGCAGCAGCAGGGCAAGCCCACCUCCCAAAGGAGAAGAUGCAACUCCCAGAUGUCGGAGGCUUGUAAGCAAUCUUUGCCUUGGAAAUGAUUGUCUUUUUUUCUUUGAGUUUUUAACUUUGCUCUCAACACCAGGUGUCACUGUAGUGACAGAAAACCUUACAAAUUCAGGAGAAUUGGUCAGCAAAGCAAAAUUUGCAAAAUGAAAAGCACUCCAGACACAAGGUGGCAAUGGCAGCAGUUACACAUAUGAUACUCCAUAAAACAGUGUACAUUGUGUAAGCAAAAGAC
rnacentral:lncRNA from 1 species